rnacentral:rRNA from 1 species
UGGGGAAUAUUGCACAAUGGAGGGAACUCUGAUGCAGCAACGCCGCGUGCGGGAUGACGGCCUUCGGGUUGUAAACCGCUUUCAGCCAUGACGAAGCUUUUGUGACGGUAGUGGUAGAAUAAGCACCGGCUAACUACGUGCCAGCAGCCGCGGUGAUACGUAGGGUGCGAGCGUUGUCCGGAAUUAUUGGGCGUAAAGAGCUUGUAGGCGGUUUGUCGCGUCGAUAGUGUAAACACGCAGCUUAACUGUGUGCCUGCUGUCGAUACGGGCUGACUAGAGGAGGGUAGGGGAGGAUGGAAUUCCCGGUGGAGCGGUGGAAUGCGCAGAUAUCGGGAGGAACACCAGUGGCGAAGGCGGUUCUCUGGACCUUUCCUGACGCUGAGAAGCGAAAGCGUGGGUAGCAAACAGG